rfam:Ovis aries breed Texel chromosome 18, whole genome shotgun sequence.
UGGCUCAGACGGUAGAGCGUCGGCCUGCAAUGCGGGAGACCCAGGUUCGAUCCCUGG